rnacentral:rRNA from 1 species
CAAUAGCGUAUAUUAAAGUUGUUGCAGUUAAAAAGUUCGUAGUUGGAUUUGUGGCGUACGGUGUGUUCCGGGCACUUGUUGUCUGAGUAACCUGCUGUUGCCAUCCUUGGGUGGAACCUGUGUGGCAUUAGGUUGUCAUGCAGGGGAUGCCCAUCAUUUACUGUGAAAAAAUUAGAGUGUUCAAAGCAGGCUUAUGCCGUUGAAUAUAUUAGCAUGGAAUAAUGAGAUAGGACUUUUUUGCUAUUUUGUUGGUUUGCGCAAAGAGGUAAUGAUUAAUAGGGACAGUUGGGGGUAUUCGUAUUCCAUUGUCAGAGGUGAAAUUCUUGGAUUUUUGGAAGACGAACUACUGCGAAAGCAUUUACCAAGGAUGUUUUCAUUAA